rnacentral:misc_RNA from 1 species
UACUUUCUUGGGGACAAGAAAGCUCUAAAGGGAGAGGAAUUGUUACGUAUCAAAGGAGGAAAUAUAGAAAGAAAUAGUAAGUAGUUAGGAAUGUUGGGAGUUAGUGAGGUAGUGAGUUAGCUUGGAGGUAUGUUUGGCGGGAAUUAGGAGGGAGGUGGCUACUAAAGUUGUUAAGCUGUAAAGUUGUUGAGCUGUUGCAAGCUGUUGUAACUUCUCUCAUUAGUAGCUUGGUUACUAAGCUGCUAUAUAAAGCU